rnacentral:rRNA from 1 species
UACGGAAGGCAGCAGGGGGAAUAUUGCACAAUGGGCGCAAGCCUGAUGCAGCCAUGCCGCGUGUAUGAAGAAGGCCUUCGGGUUGUAAAGUACUUUCAGUCGUGAGGAAGGUGUUAAGGUUAAUAACCUUAGCAAUUGACGUUAGCGACAGAAGAAGCACCGGCUAACUCCGUGCCAGCAGCCGCGGUAAUACGGAGGGUGCGAGCGUUAAUCGGAAUUACUGGGCGUAAAGGGCACGCAGGCGGUUAAUUAAGUUGGAUGUGAAAUCCCCGGGCUUAACCUGGGAAUGGCAUUCAAGACUGGUUAGCUAGAGUCUUGUAGAGGGGGUAGAAUUCCAUGUGUAGCGGUGAAAUGCGUAGAGAUGUGGAGGAAUACCGGUGGCGAAGGCGGCCCCUGGACAAAGACUGACGCUCAUGUGCGAAAGCUGGGGAGCAAACAGGGAUUAGAUACC